AGAGAAGGCGGAGAAGACAUAACACUUGGACGACCCCACGUGAUAAGCAAGUGUCUUUAUAAUGUUUACCUCAUGGUACAGGACUCUCCAGGAUCCGGAUCUCGUGGAUACACCAGACAAUCGAACUUAGCUUCCUACAACUGCAGAGGAGUGGAUAAGUAUUGGAAUUUGAAUACCUGUAGAAUUGCCCAAACGGUGGAGAAGCCAUAGGUGGGAAGCACGUCCGCAUAACACCACCUCCCAAUAGCGGAUGCUAUUAUUAUAAUUAUAAAGGCUUCUUUUCCAUUGUUGUUUUGGCUGUGGUCAAUGCUGAUUAUUAAUUCAUUUUUAUGGACAUCUGGAGUUUCAGAUGGUGGCUCAUUCCAGCAGACUGCAUUCUACGGAAAAAACUCAUGUCCAAUAGUCUGAAUAUACCAUCGAACACAGAAAGCAAACAUUGGCUACCAUUUGUUUUCGUGGCUGAAGCUUUUGCCUUGCACACAAAUGUCAUAAAGCCAUACCCUCAAAGGGCAUUAAAUAAAGAGAGGCAGAUUUUUAAUUACAGACUUUCAUGGGCUAGGUGGAUUGUGGAGAAUGCUUUUGGAAUGCUCAGCAACAGAUUUUGCAUUUUCACUCAGCUAUAAAUAGGUUGGCCAAUUCCGGGCCAUUUUUUCAAUCCCGGGAAUCAGGAUUGAAAAAUAAUCAAUCCCGAGAUACCUGGGAUUGGCUGCUUUUCAAUGUGUCCCACCCCCCCUGCCCUGACCAGCCCAGAUAACUCACCCUAAUCUGGAUGGGAGGGAGGGUGGGCCACUUGCUGUGAGCUCCGGCGGCCAGUGCAGUGCGCGGUGAAGUCCGGCGGGUGGACAAGCAGCUAGCUUUGCAGCGUGACCUCUGACUUCACGUCACACUGUGCAGUGCACCCAUCUGGAGCGAGGGAGAGCCGAGCAGGGGAAGCCGGGCAGGGUCUGAGCCUCCUAAGCACAUUCACCGAUGCCCCGGCAUAGAAAAUACUAAAGUGGUGGGCUAUCCUGAAAUCCCCGGGAUUGGAAGCUCCAAUCCCGGGAUUUAAUCCCGGACAAUUUUAGGCCGGAAUCCCGGGAUCCCGCCAAUCCUGGUCCUGGGAUUGGCCACCCUAGCUAUAAACCUUCAUGUGGACAAUAUUGACUGGGUGGUAAUUGCGUGCUGUGUGUUGUACAAUUACCUACGCCACCAACAGUUCCACUGUUUUCCUGGAUCAAGAUGAGCAUGCAGAGGAAGGAGAAAGAUGAACAUCAGUAGGGGCAUAUACAGUACAGGUUGAGUAUCCCUUAUCCAAAAUGCUUGGGACCAGAGGUAUUUUGGAUAUGGGAUUUUUCCGUAUUUUGGAAUAAUUGCAUACCAUAAUGAGAUAUCAUGGUGAUGGGACCUAAAUCUAAGCACAGAAUGCAUUUAUGUUACAUAUACACCUUAUACACACAGCCUGAAGGUCAUUUUAGCCAAUAUUUUUUAUAACUUUGUACAUUAAACAAAGUGUGUCUACAUUCACACAAUUCAUUUAUGUUUCUUAUACACCUUAUACACACAGCCUGAAGGUCAUUUAAUACAAUAUUUUUAAUAACUUUGUGUAUUAAACAAAGUUUGUGUACAUUGAGUCAUCAAAAAACAAAGGUUUCACUAUCUCACUCUCACUCAAAAAAGUCCGUAUUUCAGAAUAUUUGGAUAUGGGAUACUCAACCUGUACCUCACUAACUGCCAGUACACAUGCCAAGCAGACCUGGGAGGACUACAUGGCAUAUUUUAAUGGUAUAGGGGCAGUGCCAUGGCAAGAACACUAAUAAGCAAUUGACAACUAAUUGGUGAAUCUCCAUGCCGCUACAUUCCAGCACCUCUUUAUCCUCCUCUUCUGCCAGGUCCUAUGAACUCAGCAAGGCUGUCUGCUCACUGUGGUCCACAGUAAAGGUAAGCAAGUCGUAGUACCACAGCUUUGUAUGGUAUACUUGGUAUACUUGGUAUACUUGGUAUACUCCAGAUCUUCUGGACGUCUGCACCCAGUCCUCAUCCUCCUCACUGUAGUAUGGCUUGCUUAUUGUGAGAGGGCCUCUAUUGCUGCAGCACGUUUUUGUUUAUUGGAGUAUUCUUUACACCGAACCCUCCACAGAGUCGUAUUGCCUUAAAACCUCUAGGAACUGUUUGGUAAAUUCCUUGUUGGAAUCCAAAGGCAUUUUCCUGGUAAAAGGACAUAAAUUGGACUAUUAUGCCAAAUUUUGUUUUGUUUUG